CAAGGGAAGUUUCCACAACUCAGCCUCUGCUAAUAGCAGAUCAGUUUCUAAUUAAGGAUAUUUAUCUCAGAAGGUACCUGUUGUAGUCGUACGUGGGAAACUUGUAUAGAGAUUAUUACACAGCAGUGAAGAGUGGUAGGGGAAAGGAGUAAGGAAAAGAUCAUUUGCUUCUAAAUCAGAAUAUUAUGAACAUCACAAGCUCUCAAGUGCAACGAUAUUACAUGCUAUCUGAAAGGGCAGGGUUCUAAUUAUUUGGCUGGUAUAAGUCUGCUGCAGUGCUUAAGAUGCCGUGGUUUCCUUUGGAUGCAAUCUUACACCUGUGUUGCCUGGGAUUACAGUGAUAUGUUUUGAGCCAUCUGUAACGUUUCUAAAAUGCCUUUUUGCCUCAGAUUAACAGUGAGUACUUUGAGUACGUGAAGUACAGUACAAUGAGUACAUAAACCUUUACAUUGUUCUCCCUUGCCCUAUCUAAGGAGGGGGCUGUGGGCUGCAGUGAAUGAGCUUGGUUGGGUUUUGCACCCUCUGAAGAUUGAGUUAUUGGCUCAGUGCUGAAUUUAAUGGGAGUUUUGAAUGCACUGAAUGGAUAACUUAGCCAUGACAGAAGUAAAGGGUGUGCUGUGUUUAUGGUGGGUGGGCACUUCAAUGAGAAAUCUCCAUGAAAACAGACAAAGCUCCACACUUACUCUCAUGUGCAUUGGGACCCAAAUUCAACACAAUGACAUUGCCACCAUGCUACAAUAGAAGUUUAAAAAGGAAAUGGUAUUAUUUGCUCAGUAAUUUCUGACCCAUUGCAUGAUUACACUACCGGACUCAUUCUGAAACACAUAUAUGGGAGUACCCUCGUAAUUAAAUGUCUAAAAAUACACCACUGCCAUUUCUGGGUUGGUUUCUGAAGAGUGGUUGCAUAAAACUUUAUCGAGAUACUUAAUGCACUGUGCUGUGCUCUUUUUGGGCUGAACUGUUACUGGGAAAAAUGAAUUCAGCCUUGCAAUGGUUGCAGUGCCUUCCAGCUCCAGCACACUGAGUUCUCUGCACAGCGUAUCAAAAAUUCCCAUAUCUGGCAGGCUUGAUGCUGACAGGGUGGGAAGUGGAAGCAGCUCCCUGUGACUGACCCUUCCCAUAGUGCCUGGCUUCCUUGCAUCUCAAGGCUCAGCGCACCUGGUCUGCUGCCAGAUGUUUUCUGCUUUCCUAUGGGGGUAAGCUAGAAAAUCCCGUGUCAUCCUGAACAAGGUAUGGAGGGGGGGGAUGGAGAGGGAGCUCCUUCCACAAGAUGCUCCUGGGAUUCAGUGCAACCCUUUGGCUUAGGUUCGCCCCCAAGGUACGGUCUGGCUCAGCACACUAGCUCCUGUCAAGAAGUCAAACAUUGCUCUGGAAAACAAAGUUGUCUUCAUGCGGACGAAGAUGCUAUUUAAUGCGAUGCUGUUUAACUGGGCACUGUGCAUGGAAACUGGAGUUCUGCUGUUAGCUCCGUUUCACAGGUUUCUCAUAGGAAGAUACAAGCUGUCACGAUCCCUUGCCAAUCACAUGAGAACUGACCUAGGGAGAACAUCAACCGAAGACAGGAAAUGAGCAUUCCUGCAUGAGUAGGAAGUGCAGGCAACUUGAACUCACAAGAAAGACGUCAUAAAGUGUACUACUCUCUAUAAAAAGGGGAAGACUUGUGGAAAAGACACCAUUUUUGUGGUUGGCUCAGUGAAAGCUAGAAAGCAAAUCUCUUCACACUCCUGGAGAGAGAAGCCCCAGGUUGUGUCCAGACUUGAAAACUAAGAGUUAGAAAGUCCCACAGCCUGUCUGAGCUUUACACUGGGAGGAAAAUGAGCUGCCUGAGCAGAGGAUGAAUGUUGUCUUGGGUCACCAUCAAGAUCUUGACCUGCCUAACUGAUGUGACUCAGGGAAAGAGAAGACUGAAUGCAUGCUGGCGACUCUUUGCAACCAGUGACCAAGUGGGCAUGAGCGGUUCUACAAGGCAAGAGUGGUUCUCCAAGACAAGAGCUGACCCAGUGUGCAGGAAGAGCAGCUGGGACAGCCAAGGAGCCCUGGGUAGGUCUGAAGAAAAUUCAACUUCAGUGUUGUUAACUCAUUAUCACGCCUGUUUUAUUGAAACCAAACCCCUCAAAGAGGCAGCAUUAGAAUCAGUGUGUUACAUUGGGAAGGUGCCUGUUCAAAUGAAGUGUGAGCAGCGUGUGUUUCAAUGCUUCUGUUGUAGAUGUAAUAUAUGAGGGAAUAGCGAGAACAGCAGGUGUUGUCAGAAUUUAUGGAGGAGCAGCAAGCCCAGGCAGCAGCCCCACAGGAAGAGCAGUGACAGUUACCACAGUGAAUGAUCUCGGGAAUUACGAAAGCAGGGCAGAGCCCCAGCUGCCCUAUAGCCUGGCCUUUGGGCAGGAAAAAACAAGACAUUGACUCUAGGCUUGCACGGCCAACUCAAGCAGUAAGACUAUCAGCGAUCAGGGCAACCAGCCACCCGAGACCUGUGCUGAACAACCGUGGCCCAUGCUGUGCAUGCUGAUCUCUGAGCGAUGGUACUGCUGCCGACUAGGAGAGGUACAUCUUGAACCAGUUGGGAAUCCCAGAAUAGAAGUACUGAUAAAGGCUCAUGGAGGAAUUUAACUACCCAGACAUCUGUUGAGUAACAAAUACAGCUGAACAUGCAUCAUCGCAGAGGUUCCUAAAUUACAGUGAAGACAACUUUAUGAUCCAGAAAGUAGAGACUCCUGAGGAGAAGCCAUCCUGGAUCUACAGGAAUAUAUUAAUGAAAUUUGCAGAUGAAACUUUGCAAGUGCAUUAAAAAUAUAGCAGCUCUGUGACUUUAGCACGGCAUCGUAUGUAUUUAGAGUGGACUGUCUUCCACAUCCAUUUAUUAAUUUUUACUAUUUCAUAAGUAAAUGAACACUCAAACCCACCUUCUGCUGUCUUUAAAACUGUUUGCAUCCUCCAUUCAUGCCAGAUAUUUGGAUUCUACAGACUAUUAACUAAUAUACUCUGCACACACUUCUGUUGGAUGAUGUGUAACUCAUGACAGACACCCAAAGAAUUAGAAAAACUGACAGAUAAUAACACUGUGCAAUUCAGUUCAACAGUGCAAAAGCAUACCUUUUGCAGAAGAAAAAUUGUUAGAAACAAAUGUUGUAUAAUACAAGGAACCUUAAGAUGCAGAAAUAUUGAAAAGAUAAUAAUGAGCAGCAAAUAAGGCAUGAGUUUUCAAUAAGGCAGAAUAGCAAGGGAGACCUAUAAAGUUUUGGAGUACAAAGAAAGAUAUUAUGUCACGGGGUAAAGUUCAAAUAGGGAUUUUCCCCCUCCUUGUUGGUAUCAGGCAAUGCAAAAUAGGCUAGCAUGUUAAAAUGAGCAACAAAAAGGGUUGCGCUGGUUGUCAAGAUGAACUUCUGGCAGUAGAACGUAGGAGUUCAUGAAAAAUCUUCUGGAAGUUUUGUCUUAAAAUGACACUAAGGAGGAAAAAGAAAUGCAACCCAAAAACCUGCAGCAUUUGAUUUUUAUCCUAAAACAAGGGACUCUGAGAUGUCCAAGGGGAAAGAUUACUCUUAAAAUUUCUCACAUAAAUCAGCUAGUCUUUGCCAUCCUCAAAGAGAAACAGCCCUGAAUGAAUCCUGCUUCAUUCCUCGGAUUCAGUACAUGGAUAAUGCAGGUUUACUCUCUAGUGAUUCAUUUCCUUACAUCUGGAGAAUGUGUCUUUUGAAUUUGGGUGGGGGGAGAACAUAUUUUUUUUUCUCUGUUGCCAAGUUUUAAUUUGAUGCAUUCAUUUCUCCAUUACCAUUCUGUCCCAGCAUUUAUUGUCUCAGACACUACAGCAAAAUCUUUUUCACAUCUCUUCGAGAAGGUAACGUUUCAAUUUACAUUUGCAACAGCAAGGUAUGACCUCAGUGGGAUGGUAACCUUUGUAAUCUUCCUGCUAAUACACUGCUCAUUAGCUUUGUGAUGAAAUAUGCCCAUGUUGUAAAUAUUUCCAAAAAAGAAUAAAACUUUUCACUUGUCUGCAUUUGCCUUGACAUCUGCUACAGGGCAUACAGAGAAGGAAAUCUACCUUGAAAAGUUAUUCCAUUUCAGUAUUGUAUGAAGGCUGUUAUCAAAUAAUUCCACUCCACUCGAUCAAAGACCUUCUCAGCAUCUCAUGUUAAUAAUGUUCAUGGUCUUGAGCCUUUGCUUCUUCUAAGAUUUUAGAGUUCCCAAAGCAUCCCCUAAAAGGUCACUGAGAGGUCUGGGAGUGUUCAGUUCUUCCAUCAGAAAGAGGCAAGAGCUCCUUUUAAUCUUAAUAUUCAAUUUCUGUACACACACGCACACACACACACCAAAAAAAAAGAAUAAUUAAUCUCAGGAAGAUGGAACUCAGUCCAACAAAAGCAAUAGUGGAAGAUUUUUUUAUCAAAGGUGCAAUCUAAGAACUACCUUUGCAAGCAAGGAAUUGGAAGGAGAUAAUAAAAUGAAUGAGAAU
rnacentral:lncRNA from 7 species